UUAUUCUCAGGACCAUGCCUGGAGAGUUUCCAAUACUCUCCCAGUCUUGGAUAUGGGAGGGAGAGUCAAGCAGAAGCAUACCCAUUCCAUUCCUAGCUUGGCCAGUGGCUAGAGAGUGUAAGCCAUCUGCUACAAGU